rnacentral:rRNA from 1 species
UACAGGGGAUGCAAACGUUGCUCGGAAUCAUUGGGCGUAAAGCGCACGUAGGCGGUUCGUUAUGUCGGAUGUGAAAGCCCUUGGCUUAACCGAGGAAGUGCAUCCGAAACUGGCGAGCUAGAGUACUAAAGAGGAUCGCGGAAUUCCCGGUGUAGAGGUGAAAUUCGUAGAUAUCGGGAGGAACACCGGUGGCGAAGGCGGCGAUCUGGGUAGAUACUGACGCUGAGGUGCGAAAGCGUGGGGAGCAAACAGG